CUCAGUAACGGCGAGUGAAGCGGCAAAAGCUCAAAUUUGAAAUCUAGCACCUUCGGUGUUCGAGUUGUAAUUUGAAGAUGGUAACCUUGGGUUUGGCUCUUGUCUAUGUUCCUUGGAACAGGACGUCAUAGAGGGUGAGAAUCCCGUCUGAUGAGAUGCCCAUUCCUAUGUAAGGUGCUAUCGAAGAGUCGAGUUGUUUGGGAAUGCAGCUCUAAGUGGGUGGUAAAUUCCAUCUAAAGCUAAAUAUUGGCGAGAGACCGAUAGCGAACAAGUACAGUGAUGGAAAGAUGAAAAGAACUUUGAAAAGAGAGUGAAAAAGUACGUGAAAUUGUUGAAAGGGAAGGGCAUUAGAUCAGACUUGGUGUUUUACGAUUAUCUUCUCUUCUUGAGUUGUGCACUCGUAUUUCACUGGGCCAGCAUCGAUUCGGAUGGCAAGAUAAUGGCAGUUGAAUGUGGCUUCACUUCGGUGGAGUGUUAUAGCUUCUGCUGAUAUUGCCUGUCUGGAUCGAGGGCUGCGUCUUGACUAGGAUGCUG
rnacentral:rRNA from 1 species